AAUCAUACGUGUAGUACACAAACACGCGUAUUAUCUUACCACAAUAAUAAUAUUAAUAUCACGCCACGAUGCUCCUCCUUCAUUUCCCAUCUCAAAUGUUAGUAUAAAAAGACGACCGGCUCCUCGAUUCCGGCAUAACACAUUUUUGUGCAAAUCUAUUCUUUGUCUUCACUUUAUUUCACUCCACGAAAACCAACCAAAAUCAAAAAUGGGCGCUGAAAAAGUAUCCAUGAACAUCGUUGUCGUUGGACAAGUCCAAUCUGCCAAGGCUAUCAAGACCGUCGCCAAGGCCGCCCCAGCCACCAGCCAAUUGAUGAACUGUUAAUUCGUCAUGUAGCUCAUACGUCACCAACUCAAAAAUGCCAUAGCCCAAAAAUUACAAUAAUAUGUAAUUAUACUAACAUGUAUAUAAACUAAUAUGUACAUCACAAAAUAAAUCAGUUUUCUCCGGCA